rnacentral:rRNA from 1 species
UGGGGAAUUUUCCGCAAUGGGCGAAAGCCUGACGGAGCAAUGCCGCGUGGAGGAUGAAAGCCUGUGGGUCGUAAACUCCUUUUCUCAGAGAAGAAGAUCUGACGGUAUCUGAGGAAUAAGCAUCGGCUAACUCCGUGCCAGCAGCCGCGGUAACACGGAGGAUGCAAGCGUUAUCCGGAAUGAUUGGGCGUAAAGCGUCUGUAGGUCGUUUCCUAAGUCUCCUGUCAAAGAUCAAGGCUUAACCUUGAAAAGGCAGUGGAAACUGGGAGGCUUGAGUACGGUAGAGGCGGAGGGAAUUCCCGGUGUAGCGGUGAAAUGCGUAGAGAUCGGGAAGAACACCAAAGGCGAAAGCACUCUGCUGGUCCGAAACUGACACUGAGAGACGAAAGCGAGGGGAGCAAAAGGGAUUAGAUACCCCUGUAGU